GAAAUGCGAUAAGUAAUGUGAAUUGCAGAAUUCAGUGAAUCAUCGAAUCUUUGAACGCAUCUUGCGCUCCUUGGUAUUCCGAGGAGCAUGCCUGUUUGAGUGUCAUUUAACUUGUCAACCACAUCUAUUUUGAUGUUGGCUUGGAUGUGGGGGUUGUUUGCAGGCUUCUGUAAAAUGAAGGUCGGCUCCCCUAAAAUGUAUUAGUGGUAUCCGAGGCUAUUACUAUCAGGUGUGAUAAAUUAUCUAUGCCUUUGGUAUGCUGCAUGCUGCUUCGAACAAAAACAAUGUUGAUGAAUUUGACCUCAAAUCAGGUAGGACUACCCGCUGAACUUAA
rnacentral:misc_RNA from 1 species